rnacentral:rRNA from 1 species
CGGACCUCAGAUCAGGCAAGACCACCCGCUGAGUUUAAGCAUAUCACUAAGCGGAGGAAAAGAAACUAACAAGAUUUCC